CAUGUACUCCCUCCGUUAAGAAAUACUUGUCGGAGAAAUGCAUAAAAAUGGAUGUAUCUAGAAUCAAAAUACGUCUAGAUACAUCCAUUCCUUCGACAAGUAUUUUCGGACGAAGGGAGUAUAAG
rfam:Triticum urartu cultivar G1812 contig1232890, whole genome shotgun sequence.